UAAUACCUUACAUCCUGCCUUGCACCACUGUAUUUCAAAGAAUUUACGUGUCAGUUCUGAGAGCCAUAGUCAUACUGUGCUGUUCCGCAGUAACUAACAUACUCACAGGUUUGGUCUUGUCUCCAAAGAAGUGAAUGGUUGAGUAGUUGUCUUUCUCAACAAUCCCGAGACAGUACCUCUUAUCCCAGCCAUCAGGAAACACAUCAAAGCUGAUCUGCCCCCCUGCAGAAACAUGAUGUGGAGAAUUUACAGAGCCACGCACAGCAAUCAACCGUCGGGUAAUAGGAUUCGACGCAUUUUUUAGUUGACGAGCGCUGACCACUGGGCUGCUGUGACCAGAGAAAUUCUGUGUUUUCACUGUUUCCACUGUUAAGAAGUAGUCGAUCCAGAGCCGGCUGAUCAUGCUGGCUGAUCGUAAUGGUGGAUCCUUUAUCGUGUUGGAGGCUGAUAAUGGUGGUGGACCACGACCGAGGUGGCAGCUGAUGAUGGAUCCUAAUUGGCAGCAGUGGACAAAUUGACUGUGGACUAUAGUGGCACUCUCUGAGUUUUCUACGUUCUUUUUACCCUGUUUAAAUGAUUUUUUUUUUGUUUAAGGUCUUUACAUUUUUAGGAGUAUGGUUGGAUGAAAAAUUGACAUAUUGAGAAAAUGUGGGGGAAAUUAUAAAGAAAGUUAUAAAUCGUUUUUCCUUACUCUUGUUGAGGGUUAAGGACAGAAGAUGUCACACCAUGGUAAAGCCCCAUGAGACAAAUUGUGAUUUGUGGAUAUGGGCUAUACAAAUAAAAUUUGAUUUAUUGAUUGA